AUGCCUGUUCGAGCGUCAUUUCAACCCUCAAGCCCUGCUUGGUGUUGGGGCCCUACGGCUGCCGUAGGCCCUGAAAGGAAGUGGCGGGCUCGCUACAACUCCGAGCGUAGUAAUUCAUUAUCUCGCUAG
rnacentral:rRNA from 1 species